AACCAGACUUGAACUUCGAAUUCUCCGCCAUCUUCUUCUCCCGCCUGAAGACCCCACAGGAGAAAAGAGAAAGAAAUCGGUCUACAGUGUUCUCAUAUGGUUAAAAGCAGCAACGUUUAAUGGACUCGUGAGCAUGGCUGGAAAGAAGUCUGCAAAGC